rnacentral:rRNA from 1 species
CCUACGGGGGGCUGCAGUGGGGAAUAUUGGACAAUGGGCGAAAGCCUGAUCCAGCCAUGCCGCGUGUGUGAAGAAGGCCUUCGGGUUGUAAAGCACUUUCAGUGGGGAAGAAAGCCUUGGGGCUAAUACCCUCGAGGAAGGACAUCACCCACAGAAGAAGCACCGGCUAACUCCGUGCCAGCAGCCGCGGUAAUACGGAGGGUGCGAGCGUUAAUCGGAAUUACUGGGCGUAAAGCGCGCGUAGGCGGUCUGAUAAGCCGGUUGUGAAAGCCCCGGGCUCAACCUGGGAACGGCAUCCGGAACUGUCAGGCUAGAGUGCAGGAGAGGAAGGUAGAAUUCCCGGUGUAGCGGUGAAAUGCGUAGAGAUCGGGAGGAAUACUAGUGGCGAAGGCGGCCUUCUGGACUGACACUGACGCUGAGGUGCGAAAGCGUGGGUAGCAAACAGGAUUAGAUACCCCAGUAGUC